GGCUCCAUGGCACAGUGGUGGUGCACCCAGGCUAGAUAAGAUAUAUUUCAUUCUCCUUUAUCUGGUUGGCUGUUGUUCAAUUCAACGUGGAGGCA